rnacentral:rRNA from 1 species
AUGGCACCCCAGCAGCAACUCCUCCUGCUGCUCCUCCUCCUGGCCACGCCGUUGCCGCGGCCGGCCGCCGCCGCCGACGGGGCCGCUGGGCAACCGCCACUGGUGCAUCCGUUCUUCUACUACUCUCCGCCGCCGCCGUCGGCGCUUCCUCUCACCGUCCCGCCGCCGACGCCGACACCGUGCAGCUGCGGGCAGAUGCCGCCGCCCACGGCUGCUUGCAACUGCGGGAGGAUGCCGCCGCCUGGGAUCGGCCGCCGCAGCCCGCCGGCCGGGCGCCAGGGGCUCCAUUCCGGGUCCCACGCGCAGACCGGAGUGCAGCUCCAUCCCCGGAUGCUCUGCGCUGUCGCCGCCGCACUUCUUCUAUGGUGGUGUUAG